UUGGUGAUGAAAAGAGAUUGAUUAUUUGGGUGACAAUUUCUGGUCAGAGCCUUAAGAUCUUUCAUGCUUUGAUAGGAUGUAAUAUUUGUUGUGGAAUGGAAUGGCUUUGUUGUAUUUCUCUGAACAAUGAUACAAUUAUAUAUACACUUGUAUGCUAAAUAAAAGGGUAAACUAACGCUAAAUAUUAGUUAAAUAAUUACAGAUG
rnacentral:misc_RNA from 1 species